rnacentral:lncRNA from 1 species
GCAACCUCCGCCUCCUGGGUUCAGGUGAUUGUCCUGCCUGAGCGUCCCAAGUAGCUGGGAUUACAGGCGCCUACCACCACACCCGGCUAGUCUUUGUAUUUUUAGUAGAGACAGGGUUUCACCAUGUUGCCAGGCUGAUCUCGAACUCCUGACCUCAGGUGAUCCACCCACCUCGGCCUCCCAAAGUGCUGAGAUUACAGGCGUGAGCCACCACGCCCAGCUGCUAUGUGAUUUUUAACUCUGCAUGUGUUUCAUUUCUGAAGGAAAAUAAUUAGGAAACACUAUUGAUGGAUUAGCUUGAGUUUAUAUCCAGCAAUCUCUUCACUGAUUAGUACCAUGUUGGAAGGUGGGACAUGGACAUGAUGGCUGGAGCAAGUGUAGUCAUCUUGAACCAUGAGGCGACCAUAGGAAUAGAGGCCACACUAGUGGCACAACAAAAUAGAAGGAACCUGAGCCCUGAUUCCGUAAAGGACCAUGACACCACUGGACGGCUGCCUCUGGGCUCUGUGUGAGAGGGAAAUAAACCACCUCGUGUCACUGUUGUUUUGGAUUUUCUGUCACUUGUGCCCUUUAAGUCUUAGACUCUACUUCUGGAAAGCCCCUAUAUCCUAAGACUGGGUAACUUCCCCCCUUGUAUGUUAUUCAAACACCCCACCCUUCAGCCCUUUCUUAGCAUUCUCUACACUUUUCUGUAGUUGACCUUUCACUCCCCCUAGAUAGUAACUUCUCUAAGGACAGGCAGAGACUCUAUUUUAUACAUCAUUUUAUGCAGAUGCUGGAAACUGCUAACGCUAAAAAAAAAAAAAAAAAAGAAGAAGAAGAACUUGUGAAUGUGACAGACACGAUGAUUCUACCAAGGGUGUUGAGGGGAAAUGACACACUGCUGCCUACGCUCUCUCUCCGUGUCCUAAGUCGUUGCCACAUUAUCUUCUGGGGCCACAGGGUGCUGGCCCUCCUGAAUAACCAAAGAUAGAGAAUUAGGACGAAGGAGGGAGGAAGAGAAAAUUGCAGGAAAUUCAAGUCAUGGGAGGGAAGUGGCAUUGGGAAAAAGGGUGCUCUUUCUAUUUGGUUCCUGCUAUUUUCGACUUUGGGCCUUUUGCAACUUCCCUUGGCUCUAGCCCCUCCUCCAGUCCUGGUCUCUUAUCACACAUACACCUAUGUUCCCACGUUCUAUACCUCAAUUACACCCAAUUUCAUUCAUAAGUGGAGUGGCCCUGAUUAAUGCAAAAUUUUUAAGAAGUUAUAAACACAAACAACCCCAGUUACAGAAGGGGGUACCUUACUCUGUUUCUCACAUUCACUUCAUUCCUUUGUUCAUUCCACAUGCAUUCACUGAAUACCCACACUGCUAAGACCUGCGGAUACACAGAUGAACAGAUACCCUCUCCAGCCUCAAGGAUGUCACAUUUUUGGUUGAGAUUGGAGAGAAAACAAAGUAUCUCUAGCCCAAGAUAACUCAAUCCUUCAAAUGACCCUGAUCAGGAACAAAAAAUAUGACACUACGUUGAAGUAUAUACAUUGCAUUGCCUCUCUACCCCCUUCUAAAAAGUGAGGGUUUCAUUUUGCUUCUUUGCUUGCUUGUUUGCUCAGCUGCUCAGCCCUGGACCUUGUCAUACUGGUUGAAUGGACGGACAGGUAACGUAAACAAGUAAGGAAGACAAGACAAGGAAGUUAAGAGUUCGAGGUAAUGAGACAUUUGAGAAGCUGAGGUAUUGCGAGAGAUUUGGGAACUGGGUUGGAAGAGCAGUUUUGUUGUUGUUUUGGGGGUUUUUUGUUUGUUUUUGAGACAGAGUCUCGCUCUGUCACCCAGGCUGGAAUACAGUGGCACGAUCUCGGCUCACUGCUACCUCCGCCUCCCGGGUUCAAGCAGUUCUCCUGCCUCAGCCUCCCCAGUGCUGGGACUAUAGGCGCGUACCACCACGCCUGGCUAAUUUUUAAUAUUUUUAGUACAGAUGGGAUUUCACCGUGUUAGCCAGGAUGGUCUCAAUCUCCUGACCUCAAGAUCUGCCCACCUCAGCCUCCCAAAAUGCUAGGAUUACAGGUGUGAGCCACUGUGCCCGGCCGGAAGAGCAGUUUUUAAAGGAAGUUUUGCUAUGUGGCAUGUAGAAUCUCUAGUUUGGUCUUCAGAUGAUUGCCAGUGAAGAGUUACUUUAUCUUUUUAUCUCUAGAGUUGGGAGUCAGAUCUCUCUGGCUGGUUUCUCACUUUUUUUUUUUUUUUUUUUAUUGACCAUUCUUGGGUGUUUCUCGCAGAGGGGGAUUUGGCAGGGUCAUAGG